UACGAAGGGGACUAGCGUUGUUCGGAAUCACUGGGCGUAAAGCGCACGUAGGCGGAUUUGUAAGUCAGGGGUGAAAUCCCGGGGCUCAACCUCGGAACUGCCCUUGAUACUGCGAAUCUUGAGUCCGAUAGAGGUGGGUGGAAUUCCUAGUGUAGAGGUGAAAUUCGUAGAUAUUAGGAAGAACACCGGUGGCGAAGGCGGCCCACUGGAUCGGUACUGACGCUGAGGUGCGAAAGCGUGGGGAGCAAACAGG
rnacentral:rRNA from 1 species